rnacentral:ncRNA from 1 species
GUAAGUAUACACAGGUUCAAGACAUUUGGUGUAUGUGCUUGGCUGAGGAGCCAAUGGGGCGAAGCUACCAUCUGUGGGAUUAUGACUGAAUGCCUCUAAGUCAGAAUGCCUCC